rnacentral:rRNA from 1 species
UACGAAGGGGGCUAGCGUUGUUCGGAAUUACUGGGCGUAAAGGGCGCGUAGGCGGUGUGUCAAGUCAGGCGUGAAAGCCCCGGGCUCAACCUGGGAACCGCGCUUGAGACUGGCACGCUAGAGUUCGGGAGAGGAUGGUGGAAUUCCCAGUGUAGAGGUGAAAUUCGUAGAUAUUGGGAAGAACACCGAUGGCGAAGGCAGCCAUCUGGACCGACACUGACGCUGAGGCGCGAAAGCGUGGGGAGCAAACAAG